rnacentral:sRNA from 1 species
AUUCUGCCCAUGUGGGGAAGGAUGAGAAGCUUCGACCAAGGUUCGACUUGAGCGCCAGCGAGAGAGCGUUGCCGCAGGCAACGACCCGAAGGGCGAAGCGCGCAGCGCUGAGUAAUCCUUCCCCCACCACCA